rnacentral:rRNA from 1 species
UGGUUGAUCCUGCCAGUAAUGAUAUGCUUGACUCAAAGAUUAAGCCAUGCAUGUAUCAGUUCAAGCCCUAGUACGGCUAAACCGCAUAUGGCUCAUUAAAUCAGCUAUGAUUUCUUAGAUCUUACAUCCCUACUUGGAUAACUGUGGUAAUUCUAGAGCUAAUACAUGCCCAUCGUGUCUUUAACCUUCUGGUUAGAGCGGUUUUAUUAGUACAAAACCAACCAGCCUUCGGGUUGCAGGUUUGAUGACUCUGGAUAACUUACCUGAUCGCAUGGCCUUGUGCCGGCGACGUAUCUUUCAAGUAUCUGCCCUAUCAACUUUAGAUGGUAGGUUAUAUGCCUACCAUGGUUAUAACGGGUAACGGGGAAUCAGGGUUCGAUUCCGGAGAGGGAGCCUUAGAAAUGGCUGCUACAUCUAAGGAUGGCAGCAGGCGCGCAACUUACCCACUGCUAGUGGCAGCGAGGUAGUGACGAAAAAUAACAAUACGGAACUCUUAUGAGGCUCCGUAAUUGGAAUGAGUACAAUUUAAAUCCUUUAACGAGGAACAAUUGGAGGGCAAGUCUGGUGCCAGCAGCCGCGGUAAUUCCAGCUCCAAUAGCGUAUAUUAAAAUUGUUGCAGUUAAAAAGCUCGUAGUUGGAUCUCAGGUAGUGAGUGUUGGGUGCAGCUUCUUGCUGUUACUCGGCACUCCUCCUUAUGAGUCGGAUAGCAGUGGCUAGUGCUCUUUAUUGAGUUGCUAGCUACGCACGGCAUGUUUACUUUGAAAAAAUUAGAGUGCUCAAAGCAGGCUAUAUUGCCUGAAUAAUUAUGCAUGGAAUAAUGGAAUAAGACUCUGCUGCUAUUUUGUUGGUUUUCAGUAAUCAAUGCAGAGUAAUGAUUAAAAGAAGUAGAGCGGGGGCUAAAGUAUGGUCGCGCUAGAGGUGAAAUUCUUGGACCGUGGCCAGACUAACUACUGCGAAAGCAUUUGCCAAGGAUGCCUUCAUUAAUCAAGAACGAAAGUCAGAGGUUCGAAGACGAUCAGAUACCGUCCUAGUUCUGACUAUAAACUAUGCCAAUUUAGCAUUGGAACAUUCAUUUUUUUUCGUUCCAGCACUCCCAGGGAAACCUUAAUGAGGUUCUGGGGGGAAUAUGGUCGCAAGGAGGAAACUUAAAGGAAUUGACGGAAAGACACCACAAGGCGUGGAGCCUGCGGCUUAAUUUGACUCAACACGGGGAAUCUUUCCCGGGCAGGACACUGUAAGGAUUGACAGAUUGAUAGUUCUUUCAUGAUUCGGUGGAUGGUGGUGCAUGGCCGUUCUUAGUUGGUGGAGUGAUUUGUCUGGUUAAUUCCGAUAACGAACGAGACUCACGCCUGCUAAAUAGUACACUCACAUGUGGUUUAUGCCAUACGUGAUGAGUGACUAGACUUCUUAGAGGGAUUGAUGGCAAUUUGUCAUAUGAAAUCGAGCAAUAACAGGUCUGUGAUGCCCUUAGAUGUCCGGGGCCGCACGUGCGCUACAAUGACAGUGACAGAGAGUCUCCUUGGCCGAAAGGUCCGGGUAAUCUUUUAAUCACUGUCUCGUCAGGGAUCAGGGUUUGUAAUUAUCCCCUGUGAACGAGGAAUGCCUAGUAAGUGCAAGUCAUCAACUUGUACUGAUUACGUCCCUGUCUUUUGUACACACCGCCCGUCGCUACUACCGAUU